GAUCGUAUGAGUUAGUGCAAAAAGGGUUCCAUUUAACCUGCACCUCGAUGUUUCAUGUGGAUCUCUUACUGUUGUUUCAAAUGUUUGCAGACAAUAAUCUAGAGGUUCAUCGUGAAUCACUGGAUGCAAUUCCUCAACAACUGAGCACACCUUCAAGAAUAUUCUGACCAGCCUCCCCAAGCCUCGAGGUGGUGAAUAGCAGAAUUCUGAUGGAACCCGGGCGCUCAUCAAUUCAAGGCAUGUGCUCCAUAUAUGUAGUGCUAAUAGAAUUGUGUUACUAGUUCCAGUCAUGGAAGAUGAUUGAUGUUUCAGGGCCUUUGCUCCUAUAUAGUCUGUAUGGUUUGAUCUGUCAUAAAAGAUGUGGGCAUGACUUUUGUUCAUAUGUGCUCCAUAUAUGUAGGUCAAUUUCAAUAAUUUGCGCAUGACUUUUGUUCAUGUGUGCAUCCUAA